UGAAGAUGUUGAUAAGGAUAUGAAAUGCUAGAUGGUAAGAAUGGCAUUGGACAGAAUACACAGUAUUCUGGUGCAGUGCAGGUACUCAGAGAAAACUGAUUAACACAUAGCCUCGCUGCAAGAGCACACUGAUGUAAAGAAGGUUAAAUCUGAUAGAUGGUGGAGCCACUGCCAGCGGACCGAGUGCCAAGCUGCUGGUGAUCAGGGUCGCAGAGUCGCCGUACUGCAGUGCCGUGUACUUACACGAUAAGGAAGCGAAUCUCUCUAUAUGUGCAUUGAUUGAGAGUGUUGAGAUUCAAUGUUAUAAGAUUAAUAGCUGGCACGACUAUACUAGUCUUUAUAUACAUAUUGUAAAAUCUUAAUUGAGUGCCGAGUUAUGGCAGUGUGUAGUCUAGACCAGGCCAUGAUAGUAGGUAAAACAAACAAAGCUAUGUAUAGAUUGUGACUUAUGUCGAUUCGAAGAUUCUUGUAAUGUAAGCUUGUUGCGUGAAUCAAAUUUUAAACAAAAUAUUGAUAGGUAAAUUUAUGUUGGAAAACUGCUCAGAACAGGCCUUAAAGGCAGACUGUCUGGGGCAGGCCCUGAUUGUUGAUGAUGAUAUUAUUUACCAUAACAAACAUAAGAUUGAAAAGGUUAAUACCUUUUGAUUGAUUGAUUAUGAUGAAUGAAGGAGCAGACUGUCUGGAACAGGUCCUGACUGGGUUGGGCCUAACAUUCUAGAGCAGGCCGUGAAGGCAGACUGUCUAGAACAGGCUAUGAUACCAGUUUGGCAUUCUAGAGCAGGCCGUUAUGGCAGACUGUCUAGACCACACCAGUCUAGAGCAGGCCAUACCAAAUUAUAAAAUUAUAUUGAUUGAUUAGGUUGAAUGAAGGAGCAGACUGUCUGGAACAGGUUUGGGUAGUAGCCUGACAUUCUAGAGCAGGCCGUGAAGGCAGACUGUCUAGAACAGGCUAUAAUACCAUCUUGAAAUUCUAGAGCAGGCCGAUAUGGCAGACUGUCUAGGCCACACCAGUCUAGAGCAGGCCAUAAUUUAAUUGAUUGAUUGGCAGACCGCCUUGAUUAGUCAAGAACGGGCCAUAACAAAUUAUAUUUUGUUGAUGAAAAGAGCAGGCCUUAAAGGCAGACUGCGGAUGUUUAUGGUAUAAUAUCUCUUAUUAAUAUGUUCAGAACAGGCCUUUAGGUUGACUGUUAAUGAUAUAUACUUUGUUAAUAUAAUUAGAACAGGCUUGUAAGCAGACUGAUUAUUAGUGAUAUAAUAUACUUUAUUAAUAUGAUAAGAGCAGGCCUAGUCUAGUAGGCAGACUGUGAUGUUAAUUAGAAAAUAUACUUUUGCUAAUAUGUUAUACUUUGGAACCGGCCUUGAAGGCAGACUGAGAUAGUUAAUGAUAUAAUAUAAAAACCUCGAUAAUAUGAUUAGAAUUGACUUUGUAAGCUGAAUGUGACUAUUAAUGAUAUAUUAUACUUAGUCAAUACUUAAAUAACAAGCCUAGUAGGCAGAGAUUGAUAAUGAUGUUUUAUAUACUUUGAUAAAA